AGCCCUCCCAGGUACCGAGGACACCGAGGACUUCCGGGUUUCUCCCCUGCUUCUCGGUUUCCUCCUCUGUAAGAUGGCGGUAGCCCUGUACCUGUGAAGAUGGAGAUGAGCGUCUAUAGCACACAGACUUACUCCACGUGCAGUGCUCUCUGCUGUUAGGAGGAAGACCCUUUUACUGUUGCAGUGGAUUCCAAUGAAAUACUGACAUUUACAGCAACAUGGAUGGACCUAGAGAUUAUCAUACUAAGUGAGUAAGUCAGA